UACGUAGGGUGCGAGCGUUGUCCGGAAUUACUGGGCGUAAAGAGCUCGUAGGUGGUUUGUCGCGUUGUUCGUGAAAACUCACAGCUUAACUGUGGGCGUGCGGGCGAUACGGGCAGACUGGAGUACUGUAGGGGAGACUGGAAUUCCUGGUGUAGCGGUGGAAUGCGCAGAUAUCAGGAGGAACACCGGUGGCGAAGGCGGGUCUCUGGGCAGUAACUGACGCUGAGGAGCGAAAGCGUGGGGAGCGAACAGGAUUAGAUACCCUGGUAGUCCACGCCGUAAACGGUGGGUACUAGGUGUGGGUUUCCUUCCUUUAGGGAUCCGUGCCGUAGCUAACGCAUUAAGUACCCCGCCUGGGGAGUACGGCCGCAAGGCUAAA
rnacentral:rRNA from 1 species